UCCCUAGUGGUCCAGCGGUUAAGACUCUGCACUCCCAAUGUGGGGGCCAGGGUUCAAUCCCUGGUCAGGGAG
rnacentral:tRNA from 1 species